UUGAACGCUGGCGGCAGGCCUAACACAUGCAAGUCGAGCGGAUGAAGGGAGCUUGCUCCUGGAUUCAGCGGCGGACGGGUGAGUAAUGCCUAGGAAUCUGCCUGGUAGUGGGGGAUAACGUCCGGAAACGGGCGCUAAUACCGCAUACGUCCUGAGGGAGAAAGUGGGGGAUCUUCGGACCUCACGCUAUCAGAUGAGCCUAGGUCGGAUUAGCUAGUUGGUGGGGUAAAGGCCUACCAAGGCGACGAUCCGUAACUGGUCUGAGAGGAUGAUCAGUCACACUGGAACUGAGACACGGUCCAGACUCCUACGGGAGGCAGCAGUGGGGAAUAUUGGACAAUGGGCGAAAGCCUGAUCCAGCCAUGCCGCGUGUGUGAAGAAGGUCUUCGGAUUGUAAAGCACUUUAAGUAGGGAGGAAGGGCAGUAAGUUAAUACCUUGCUGUUUUGACGUUACCAACAGAAUAAGCACCGGCUAACUUCGUG
rnacentral:rRNA from 1 species